UUAAGCGACUAAGCGUACACGGUGGAUGCCCUGGCAGUCAGAGGCGAUGAAGGACGUGCUAAUCUGCGAAAAGCGUCGGUAAGGUGAUAUGAACCGUUAUAACCGGCGAUGUCCGAAUGGGGAAACCCAGUGCAAUUCGUUGCACUAUCGUUAACUGAAUACAUAGGUUAACGAGGCGAACCGGGGGAACUGAAACAUCUAAGUACCCCGAGGAAAAGAAAUCAACCGAGAUUCCCCCAGUAGCGGCGAGCGAACGGGGAGCAGCCCAGAGUCUGAAUCAGCUUGUGUGUUAGUGGAACGGUCUGGAAAGUCCGACGGUACAGGGUGAUAGUCCCGUACACCAAAAUGCACAGGUUGUGAACUCGAAGAGUAGGGCGGGACACGUGGUAUCCUGUCUGAAUAUGGGGGGACCAUCCUCCAAGGCUAAAUACUCCUGACUGACCGAUAGUGAACCAGUACCGUGAGGGAAAGGCGAAAAGAACCCCGGCGAGGGGAGUGAAAAAGAACCUGAAACCGUGUACGUACAAGCAGUGGGAGCACCUUCGGGUGUGACUGCGUACCUUUUGUAUAAUGGGUCAGCGACUUAUAUUCUGUAGCAAGGUUAACCGUAUAGGGGAGCCGCAGGGAAACCGAGUCUUAACUGGGCGUUAAGUUGCAGGGUAUAGACCCGAAACCCGGUGAUCUAGCCAUGGGCAGGUUGAAGGUUGGGUAACACUAACUGGAGGACCGAACCGACUAAUGUUGAAAAAUUAGCGGAUGACUUGUGGCUGGGGGUGAAAGGCCAAUCAAACCGGGAGAUAGCUGGUUCUCCCCGAAAGCUAUUUAGGUAGCGCCUCGUGAACUCAUCUUCGGGGGUAGAGCACUGUUUCGGCUAGGGGGUCAUCCCGACUUACCAACCCGAUGCAAACUACGAAUACCGAAGAAUGUUAUCACGGGAGACACACGGCGGGUGCUAACGUCCGUCGUGAAGAGGGAAACAACCCAGACCGCCAGCUAAGGUCCCAAAGUCAUGGUUAAGUGGGAAACGAUGUGGGAAGGCACAGACAGCCAGGAUGUUGGCUUAGAAGCAGCCAUCAUUUAAAGAAAGCGUAAUAGCUCACUGGUCGAGUCGGCCUGCGCGGAAGAUGUAACGGGGCUAAACCAUGCACCGAAGCUGCGGCAGCGACACUAUGUGUUGUUGGGUAGGGGAGCGUUCUGUAAGCCUGCGAAGGUGUGCUGUGAGGCAUGCUGGAGGUAUCAGAAGUGCGAAUGCUGACAUAAGUAACGAUAAAGCGGGUGAAAAGCCCGCUCGCCGGAAGACCAAGGGUUCCUGUCCAACGUUAAUCGGGGCAGGGUGAGUCGACCCCUAAGGCGAGGCCGAAAGGCGUAGUCGAUGGGAAACAGGUUAAUAUUCCUGUACUUGGUGUUACUGCGAAGGGGGGACGGAGAAGGCUAUGUUAGCCGGGCGACGGUUGUCCCGGUUUAAGCAUGUAGGCUGGUUGUCCAGGCAAAUCCGGAUAAUCAAGGCUGAGGUGUGAUGACGAGGCACUACGGUGCUGAAGUAACAAAUGCCCUGCUUCCAGGAAAAGCCUCUAAGCAUCAGGUAACAUUAAAUCGUACCCCAAACCGACACAGGUGGUCAGGUAGAGAAUACCAAGGCGCUUGAGAGAACUCGGGUGAAGGAACUAGGCAAAAUGGUGCCGUAACUUCGGGAGAAGGCACGCUGGUGUGUAGGUGAAGUCCCUGCGGAUGGAGCUGAGACCAGUCGAAGAUACCAGCUGGCUGCAACUGUUUAUUAAAAACACAGCACUGUGCAAACACGAAAGUGGACGUAUACGGUGUGACGCCUGCCCGGUGCCGGAAGGUUAAUUGAUGGGGUUAUCCGUAAGGAGAAGCUCUUGAUCGAAGCCCCGGUAAACGGCGGCCGUAACUAUAACGGUCCUAAGGUAGCGAAAUUCCUUGUCGGGUAAGUUCCGACCUGCACGAAUGGCGUAAUGAUGGCCAGGCUGUCUCCACCCGAGACUCAGUGAAAUUGAACUCGCUGUGAAGAUGCAGUGUACCCGCGGCAAGACGGAAAGACCCCGUGAACCUUUACUAUAGCUUGACACUGAACAUUGAGCCUUGAUGUGUAGGAUAGGUGGGAGGCUUUGAAGCGUGGACGCCAGUCUGCGUGGAGCCAACCUUGAAAUACCACCCUUUAAUGUUUGAUGUUCUAACGUUGGCCCCU
rnacentral:rRNA from 1 species